UUCUUUACUUAGCAGGGAAGACAUGAUAAUGGUGAUGGUUUUCUCAGGGCGAGGCUCACCCACUGCACUGGGGAUGUGCUGAUUGACGCCUAUGAUUUCCAUGAUUGCUGGAAACUUGGGUGCAUAAUUUGUGUUAGUGGCAGACUGUACUCACAUUCUCCUC